ACUGCCACCUGCCUUUGAAAACCUCCUCGCCUCUGGAAAAUCUCUGAUGUCCAAAACCAAAAACUCCACCUGUAAAUAAAACUGCACUUAUCUUUUUA